GAUGGGCAGCACUUCUGCAGCCGCUUUUGGAGGCUUAUCAGCUUCCUACAAGAAUCAGGAUAGAGGAAAAUAAAGCUGCAGGUCUUGGACUACCUUUCUUGAAUCGUUCAAUAAAAAAUUAGACAGUCGAUCAGAAUGGGAAAAUCACUAGUAAAUGUUACUUUUGGAACCUCCAAGAAAGAAACUGACAUCGAGAAGGAUCUAAAAGCAUGAAAGCAGUCUUGGCUGAAUUUUUUUUUGCAGUGAGAAUUUACUUGCGUGGUUCGCACUUUGCCUGCAGGGUUUUUAUCAAUCAUUACAACGCGAAUUCCAAAUAUUGCCAUGUAUGUUGGUUAAAUGAUAACAAAAAGCCAGCAAAGUGCGUACCACGUAAGUAAAGUGUUUCUAAAUGAGCCACUGGGCUGAAAAUAUAUGCAAUUUCCACAAAGCAUAAAAGACAGUCUUGGGGACCAAUUUUCAUUAAAAAAUUGCGUUAGUUCAAGAGUCAACACACAUUUUGGGACAAAAAUUAAACAGAAAAAUUAUACUUUCAAUUCGGUUUAUUGACAACAACAGACAUAUUGCAAAAAUAUGCCAGUAUAAUAAAUUAUACACACAAUAAAUCUAGAAAUAUAACCUUUAUAAAAGAUUACAAAUAUCACUAAUAUUUUAUUUUAUUGCUGUAAUAAAAUAACAACGACUAUUCAACAAAUAAACAAAAUGUUAACCAUCUUUAUUCAGCCUGAUUUAGUAGCAGCUUUGGCUCAUUGGACUGAACUACUCGAAAAUAAUGAAGGCAAUUUUGCGCAAACUUACUACAAUAAAUACUUCUGCUUCAUUUGCUAGCAAAACCUGGAUUAAUUCCUAAAAUAUACGAGAGAGUAUAUUCAUAACGAAUGUUGUGAUGUUUUGUACACACAUUUUACAAUUUGUUUAAAAAAUAACUGUUGUAAUAAAAGCUACAUUUUCAAUAUACUUAAUAAAAUAUCCAUCUUUUUCAUUGACUUUUUUUAGAAUGUUUUUCGAUCACCAAUCGGUAGAAUGAGAAGCUUUAAUUCGAUCUUAGUAUCUGGCACUUUAAGGGAGACUAUUCGAUAUAGAGGGUUGAUGCGUUUGAACUUAAUGAUUUCACAAUUAUAACUAGUUAACUAUUAUGGGACGCCAGCUAUGUACAUAUUUUUAGAAAUCGAGCACUAUUAGACCCUUAAGUAGCAACAUACCACUCAAGGGCCUAACAUUGCCUUAUCAAAGACCAUUUCGACUAGUAAGAAUUAGAACCCAUUUCAAACACUCAGGGCAUAAAAAUAUUUAUCGGGAAAUGAUCUUUGCAUAGAUGUAUGAAACACAACAUCCAUAUAACGUUAAAUAGACAUGUAGAAGGGCUUUGAAAGUGUUAAUCCGAAUAACAUGUGCACUAACACUAGUUCAUAGAAUCUAAUAAUUAACGGCAACAUGAAUAAUUAGUUGUUAAUAUAUUUAUAUGUUUUUAAAGUUUUUUGAAUAAUACGCGAAAAUGUAUGAUUUAUCAAUUAUUAAUUAAUAAUUUAUUAAUUAUUAAUCUCUAACUAUAGCCUAGCUUCUAUGCACAUCGGCGGUUUGAAAACCGCUUUUUUGUUUUAUUGUGACCAAAAUGGAAUGUUAAAAACAAACAUAGAGAGCAUAUAUGUAAAUAUUUUUUAGUUGGUUUUGAUCACAGUCUUUUCAUUUAGUGCGUUAGCAACUCAGAUAAAUAUAACAGUGACUAUUAGGUCACUUGUUCGAUGUCCCAAAAAUAGACUUUCUAUUCUCUUUUAGUAACCCAGCAUGCGUCCAAACUAGUUCUAGAACUGCACACUUUUUCGCAGCUUUAUAGUUAUUUGCUUGUUAAUCGACGGCAGUAAUUGGAUCUCAAUCUCUCCCUGAUCUCUAUUGUACUUUUGAGUCUCUGCAGUGAGGAGGGAACGAAUACACGACUAGAAAUCACCGAUAAGCGACAAGGAACUUUCACAUCCAUAGCAGUUUUUCCAGUAAGUAAGAAACAUUCAAAGUGCAUAACUUACUGGCUAGAGGGUUGAGGUGGACCCUUAGCAGAACUAUUCAAAUGGGCGUUGAUCGAUUCUACACUAAACAUUCUUAGUCGAUAAACUACAAAGCGCUUGAACGUCGAACAAAAACGAAAAAUCAAACGCCACACAGAAAACCCGUUAAGUAUAAAAAUAAAUUUUCGCUUAAAAAUAAAAAGUGUUACAAAAGCGCUUCAACGCAAUUGAUAUGUUCUAGUCUCACA
rnacentral:lncRNA from 1 species